ACUACGGUAGUGAUGAGACGUGCCUGCACUGAUGAGAUUUACCCGAGGGAGUGGCGGACGGUGAGUAGCACGUCGGUAACCUGCCCAGAGCAGGGAUACACCUGGAUACAGAUGCUAAUACGUAUACAGAGAACCGCCUGGUUUCUUUAAAAGAUGGCUCUGCUAUCACUCUGGAUGGACCCGCGCGCAUUAGCUAGUUGGUGAGGUAACGGCUCACCAAGGCGAUGAUGCGUAGCCGACCUGAGAGGGUAAUCGGCCACAUUGGGACUGAGACACGGCCCAGACUCCUACGGGAGGCAGCAGUAGGGAAUCUUCCACAAUGGACGCAAGUCUGAUGGAGCAACGCCGCGUGAGUGAAGAAGGGUUUCGGCUCGUAAAGCUCUGUUGUUAAAGAAGAACGUGGGUGAGAGUAACUGUUCACCCAGUGACGGUAUUUAACCAGAAAGCCACGGCUAACUACGUGCCAGCAGCCGCGGUAAUACGUAGGUGGCAAGCGUUAUCCGGAUUUAUUGGGCGUAAAGCGAGCGCAGGCGGUCUUUUAAGUCUAAUGUGAAAGCCUUCGGCUCAACCGAAGAAGUGCAUUGGAAACUGGGAGACUUGAGUGCAGAAGAGGACAGUGGAACUCCAUGUGUAGCGGUGAAAUGCGUAGAUAUAUGGAAGAACACCAGUGGCGAAGGCGGCUGUCUGGUCUGUAACUGACGCUGAGGCUCGAAAGCAUGGGUAGCGAACAGGAUUAGAUACCCUGGUAGUCCAUGCYGUAAAYGAUKAUUNYUAAGUGUWGGAGGGUYUCCGCCCWUCAGUGCUGCAGCUAACGCAUUAAGUAAUCCGCCUGGGGAGUACGACCGCAMGGUUGAAACUCAAAAGAAUUGACGGGGSCCCSCACAAGCGGUGGAGCAUGUGGUUUAAUUCGAAGCUACGCGAAGAACCUUACCAGGUCUUGACAUCUUCUGCCAACCUAAGAGAUUAGGYGUUCCCUUCGGGGANYAGWAUGANNCWGGURSYRCAUGSWYGUCGUCAGCUCGUGUCGUGAGAUGUUGGGUUAAGUCCCGCAACGAGCGCAACCCUUAUUACUAGUUGCCAGCAUUCAGUUGGGCACUCUAGUGAGACUGCCGGUGACAAACCGGAGGAAGGUGGGGACGACGUCAAAUCAUCAUGCCCCUUAUGACCUGGGCUACACACGUGCUACAAUGGAUGGUACAACGAGUCGCGAAACCGCGAGGUUUAGCUAAUCUCUUAAAACCAUUCUCAGUUCGGACUGUAGGCUGCAACUCGCCUACACGAAGUCGGAAUCGCUAGUAAUCGCGGAUCAGCAUGCCGCGGUGAAUACGUUCCCGGGCCUUGUACACACCGCCCGUCACACCAUGAGAGUUUGUAACACCCAAAUCCUCGAGAGUUGAUCAUGGCUCCGGAGAACGUAGAGAGUG
rnacentral:rRNA from 1 species